UACGGGGGGAGCAAGCGUUGUUCGGAUUUACUGGGCGUAAAGGGCGCGUAGGCGGUCAGCACAAGUCAGUUGUGAAAUCUCCGGGCUUAACCCGGAAAGGUCAACUGAUACUGUGCGACUAGAGUGCGGAAGGGGCAACUGGAAUUCUUGGUGUAGCGGUGAAAUGCGUAGAUAUCAAGAGGAACACCUGCGGCGAAGGCGGGUUGCUGGGCCGACACUGACGCUGAAGCGUGAAAGCCAGGGGAGCGAACGGG
rnacentral:rRNA from 1 species